rnacentral:rRNA from 1 species
UCGUGCAGUCGAACGAUGAUGCCCAGCUUGCUGGGUGGAUUAGUGGCGAACGGGUGAGUAACACGUGAGUAACCUGCCCCUGACUCUGGGAUAAGCGUUGGAAACGACGUCUAAUACUGGAUAUGAUCACUGGCCGCAUGGUCUGGUGGUGGAAAGAUUUUUUGGUUGGGGAUGGACUCGCGGCCUAUCAGCUUGUUGGUGAGGUAAUGGCUCACCAAGGCGACGACGGGUAGCCGGCCUGAGAGGGUGACCGGCCACACUGGGACUGAGACACGGCCCAGACUCCUACGGGAGGCAGCAGUGGGGAAUAUUGCACAAUGGGCGAAAGCCUGAUGCAGCAACGCCGCGUGAGGGAUGACGGCCUUCGGGUUGUAAACCUCUUUUAGUAGGGAAGAAGCGAAAGUGACGGUACCUGCAGAAAAAGCACCGGCUAACUACGUGCCAGCAGCCGCGGUAAUACGUAGGGUGCAAGCGUUGUCCGGAAUUAUUGGGCGUAAAGAGCUCGUAGGCGGUUUGUCGCGUCUGCUGUGAAAUCCCGAGGCUCAACCUCGGGCUUGCAGUGGGUACGGGCAGACUAGAGUGCGGUAGGGGAGAUUGGAAUUCCUGGUGUAGCGGUGGAAUGCGCAGAUAUCAGGAGGAACACCGAUGGCGAAGGCAGAUCUCUGGGCCGUAACUGACGCUGAGGAGCGAAAGCAUGGGGAGCGAACAGGAUUAGAUACCCUGGUAGUCCAUGCCGUAAACGUUGGGCGCUAGAUGUAGGGACCUUUCCACGGUUUCUGUGUCGUAGCUAACGCAUUAAGCGCCCCGCCUGGGGAGUACGGCCGCAAGGCUAAAACUCAAAGGAAUUGACGGGGGCCCGCACAAGCGGCGGAACAUGCGGAUUAAUUCGAUGCAACGCGAAGAACCUUACCAAGGCUUGACAUACACCGGAAACGGCCAGAGAUGGUCGCCCCCUUGUGGUCGGUGUACAGGUGGUGCAUGGUUGUCGUCAGCUCGUGUCGUGAGAUGUUGGGUUAAGUCCCGCAACGAGCGCAACCCUCGUUCUAUGUUGCCAGCGGGUUAUGCCGGGGACUCAUAGGAGACUGCCGGGGUCAACUCGGAGGAAGGUGGGGAUGACGUCAAAUCAUCAUGCCCCUUAUGUCUUGGGCUUCACGCAUGCUACAAUGGCCGGUACAAAGGGCUGCGAUACCGUAAGGUGGAGCGAAUCCCAAAAAGCCGGUCUCAGUUCGGAUUGAGGUCUGCAACUCGACCUCAUGAAGUCGGAGUCGCUAGUAAUCGCAGAUCAGCAACGCUGCGGUGAAUACGUUCCCGGGCCUUGUACACACCGCCCGUCAAGUCAUGAAAGUCGGUAACACCCGAAGCCGGUGGUCCUAACCCUUGUGGAAGGAGUCCGAC